GUCUCUAUGGCUCAGUGGUAGAGCAUCAGAGUGCAGAAUCUAAAGGUCUGAGGUUCAAUUCCUCAUGGGGACU
rnacentral:tRNA from 1 species